rnacentral:rRNA from 1 species
GUGCCAGCCGCUGCGGUAAUACGGAGGGUGCAAGCGUUAAUCGGAAUUACUGGGCGUAAAGCGCACGCAGGCGGUCUGUCAAGUCGGAUGUGAAAUCCCCGGGCUCAACCUGGGAACUGCAUUCGAAACUGGCAGGCUAGAGUCUUGUAGAGGGGGUUAGAAUUCCAGGUGUAGCGGUGAAAUGCGUAGAGAUCUGGAGGAAUACCGGUGGCGAAGGCGGCCCCUGGACAAAGACUGACGCUCAGGUGCGAAAGCGUGGGAGCAAACAGGAUUAGAUACCCUGGUAGUCCACGCCGUAAACGAUGUCGAUUUGGAGGUUGUGCCCUUGAGGCGUGGCUUCCGGAGCUAACGCGUUAAAUCGACCGCCUGGGGAGUACGGCCGCAAGGUUAAAACUCAAAUGAAUUGACGGGGGCCCGCACAAGCGGUGGAGCAUGUGGUUUAAUUCGAUGCAACGCGAAGAACCUUACCUGGUCUUGACAUCCACAGAACUUAGCAGAGAUGCUUUGGUGCCUUCGGGAACUGUGAGACAGGUG